rnacentral:rRNA from 1 species
GAUGAACGCUGGCGGCGUGCCUAAUACAUGCAAGUCGAGCGAACGGACGAGAAGCUUGCUUCUCUGAUGUUAGCGGCGGACGGGUGAGUAACACGUGGAUAACCUACCUAUAAGACUGGGAUAACUUCGGGAAACCGGAGCUAAUACCGGAUAAUAUUUUGAACCGCAUGGUUCAAUAGUGAAAGACGGUCUUGCUGUCACUUAUAGAUGGAUCCGCGCUGCAUUAGCUAGUUGGUAAGGUAACGGCUUACCAAGGCAACGAUGCAUAGCCGACCUGAGAGGGGGAUACGCCAACCCGGAAACGGGGACACGUCCAGAAUCCUACGGGAGGGAGCCGGAGGGAAACUUUCGGAAAGGGCGAAAGGCUGACGGAGGAAAGGCGCGGGAGUGAUGAAGGGCCUCGGAUCGUAAAAACCUGUUAAUAGGGAAGAACAUAUUUGUAAGUAAAUGUGGAACUCUUGAAGGUAACUAAUCAGAAAGCCCACGGUAAACAAGUGC